rnacentral:lncRNA from 1 species
GUACCGGUACAAGACCCCGUGUACCGGUAUAAGGAGCCCGAACAGCGAGAGAUGUUUCAGAUAUGGGAAAAAUAGAGGGGUUUAUUUGCAAAUAUGCCUAUAUGAAGGCUGAGGGUCCACUCCCCUCUCAUUUCCCUCUCUUUUCUCUCCCUCUCUCACACCUCUCUCGCUCUCUCUCUCUCUAAACCGAAAAGAGAAAGAAAGAAGAAGAAGAAGAAAGGAAGGAGAGGAAGAACAAGAAAAGAGGAGGAAAGGAAGAAGAAGAAGUUAUUGAGGAGGAGAGU